UCUCCGUUGGUGAACCAGCGGAGGGAUCAUUACCGAGUUUACAACUCCCAAACCCCCGUGAACAUACCAUUUGUUGCCUCGGCGGUGCCUGCUUCGGCAGCCCGCCAGAGGACCCAAACCCUUGAUUUUAUACAGUAUCUUCUGAGUAAAUGAUAAAAUAAAUCAAAACUUUCAACAACGGAUCUCUUGGUUCUG
rnacentral:misc_RNA from 1 species